AGGUGCGGGAUGAAGGCCUUCGGGUUGUAUACCGCUUUCAGUAGGGAAGAAGCGAAAGUGACGGUACCUACAAAAGAAGCACCGGCUAACUAUGUGCCAGCAGCCGCGGUAAUACAUAGGGUGCAAGCGUUGUCCGGAAUUAUUGGGCGUAAAGAGCUCGUAGGUUGUUUGUUACGUCGGAUGUGAAAAUCUGGGGCUCAGCCCCAGACCUGCAUUCGAUACGGGCGAACUAGAGUGUGGUAGGGGAGACUGGAAUUCCUGGUGUAGCGGUGGAAUGCGCAGAUAUCAGGAGGAACACCAAUGGCGAAGGCAGGUCUCUGGGCCAUUACUGACACUGAGGAGCGAAAGUCUGGGGAGCGAACAGGAUUAGAUACCCUGGUAGUCCAGACCGUAAACGGUGGGCGCUAGUUGUGGGAACCUUCCACGGUUUCUGCGACGCAGCUAACGCAUUAAGCGCCCCGCCUGGGGAGUACGAUCGCAAGAUUAAAACUCAAAGGAAUUGACGGGGCCCCGCACAAGCAGCGGAGCAUGCGGCUUAAUUCGACGCAACGCGAAGAACCUUACCAAGGCUUGACAUAUAGGGAAAAGCAAUAGAGAUAUCGUGUCCGCAAAGGCUCUAUACAGGUGGUGCAUGGGUGGUCGUCAGCUCCUGUCGUGAGAUGUG
rnacentral:rRNA from 1 species